rnacentral:rRNA from 1 species
GACAGAGGUGCCGAGCGUUAGGCGGAAUCACUGGGCUUAAAGCGUGUGUAGGCGGACCGUUAAGUACCUUGUGAAAUCCCACGGCUCAACCGUGGAACUGCCGGGCAUACUGGCGAUCUUGAGGCAUUCAGGGGCGAGCGGAACAAGUGGUGGAGCGGUGAAAUGCGUAGAUAUCACUUGGAACGCCAAUGGUGAAAACAGCUCGCUGGGAAUGAUCUGACACUGAGACGCGAAAGCCAGGGGAGCGAACGGG